GGGGGCGGCCGGCGGCGGCCCGGGGCGGGGAGCGGGGAAGGGGCGCCUCGCUGCACCCCGGGAGGGGGAAGGGUUUUUCCCCCCGCCACUAGAAAAUACUGAGAAGACAAGGCGAGGGGAGGCAGCAGAUUCUCACCUCUACUCCCUCACCCGGAGCAAGAAAAAUUAACACCAAGGGAAAGUGACAGGAAGCCAGAAAACCCGAAAGCCCCUCGUGGGCUGGUUUCCAUCUAUGCUGUAUCUCCAAAGAUGCAUUUUCAGCUUCACCACCACAACAAUAAGGACCAAAUUUAAGAGGAAGAUUUUAGAGCACCAAAGCUGAGCUCCUUGGGAUGUCACAGGCCUCCAGCAUCCACUGUUUGAAGCACCACACGCUGAAAGCCUUGUGACAACCUGCGGUAGAGAUAUGCGUUUUCCAGGCAGACUAUCCAGCCCGGCAAUGCUGCCGUCAGCAUUCACCUCUUGACAAGUGAUGGUGAACAGUGCUGAUUCAGAGAGACAAAUGCAAAGCACGCAGCACUUCACGUGGGUCUCGAUCAACUGGGCCACCCAGGAUUUUAACCGUUCUUUGCCUUUUUCCACCAAAGACGCAGCAGGAGCGAAGUUAACACUCCCAUCCAGCCACCCAGCAGCACGCUUUCUGUCAGUCCUAGCGGGAAUUGCAGUCAUCAUUCCCAGUGAGCUUCCCAAAAGCCAAGCACCGUGGCAUGCAUCCCAGCAGGAUCCACCAAGGAAAGGGCUGGCAGAGCAAUCAAUUUACCAUUUUCAAGGCGAUGAGAGCUUUUAGGAGAAAUCAAUUGGUGGUUAAUUAGGAAUAUUACCCAUGUAGCUAAUAGUUAUUGAUGAUAGCUCUCUCCUUCACAGUUCAUUUCCAUCUUACCCUUCCUCUAAAUAAAGGUGUUACCUAUGGAUGUUAUUUGCGGCUUCAUAAUCUGCUGUCAUAGGCAUUAUUGCCAUUUAUUUGAGAGCAUGCCAAAGAGUGACCAUGAGGAAGAUAAAAUAGGACCCUGAGCCAGAAAUCCUGCCUGGAGCAGCUAAGCAGCCAGCAGUGAAGAUUUUUCAGAAGCACUGAUUUUUAUAUAAACACCAUUCAUAAACUUCUCUCCGCACAGCGCUGUCUCAAAUUAGCAAGGUGACAUUAAUGCGUCGGGGGUAGGUUUUGACAGAAGCCAUGCUACAGGAAGCUGGACUCUAACUUUGCAUCAGCAGCAAGGGUUACAAGUGGCACGCCAGGGACAGAGAGGGAAGAAAGGAGUUUAAAUUAGGAUGAUGGGAUUCCCUUCCCACCUUCACUUGCUUCCAUGGGAAAGAGUCCUGCUAGGUGUAAAACAACUAAAUACUACAUGCUGGUAUGAAAUAAAAAAUUCAUUAAAUCAU